rnacentral:piRNA from 1 species
UAAGAGAGGGUUGCAAACCUUACGAAUUGC